rnacentral:lncRNA from 12 species
CUGGGGAAAGCUGUCCAGAUCACUGUGUGCUCUGAAAAUCCACAAAGAAUUCAGGAGGAAUAACCUGUGUGGUAAAUACAAUUCUGUGCUUUCCCCUGAGCAGAUACCCUGUAAGCCUAAUGUGGAUGGCCUGGAUUUGAGAACAGCCCAAGAAAAUUCAUUUCCUAAAUCCAAAUAGGCUUUUGGACGAGUUGUGGUAUCACCCUGCAUCUCUGAGAGAAGUUUUAAAGUUGAGGGGCUGAGUUUUUGAAGUAAAAAAAUUCAACUGGCGUUCCUGGUGAGUAUUGAAAAAGGAAAAAUUCCCUGUAUUUCUGCAGGAGUGAGAUUCACUGC